GACGAACGCUGGCGGCGUGCUUAACACAUGCGAGUCGAACGGAAAGGCCCUGCUUUUGUUUGGUGCUCGAUUGGCGAACGGGUGAGUAACACGUGAGUAACCUGCCCUUGUCUUUCUGAUAACUUCAGGAAACUCCGGCUCUUACCGGAUAUAAUCUCCUGCUGCAUGGUGUUGGUUGGAAAGUUUCGGCGGUUGGGGAUGGACUCGCGGCUUAUCAGCUUGUUGGUCGGGUAGUGGCUUUCCAAGGGUUUGACGGGUAGCCGGCCUGAGAGGCUGACCGGGGACCAGGGGACUGAGGGAGGGAGCAGUAGGGAACGGGAGGCAGUAGGGGGGAGUAUUACAGAGUGGGGGGAAGCGUGAGGUAGAGAUGUUGGGUGCGGGAUGACGGCUUAUGGGUUGUAAACAGAUUUGGAAUGAGACGAAGAGGGAGUGACGGUAACGGGUAAAGAAGCACCGGCUAACUACGUG
rnacentral:rRNA from 1 species